CAACCCUAUAAACACUUUGUUGUUCCUCUCUCCCCAUAAAACCCAUAACAAAGUGCACACCCCAACUUCUCAAAGAAAGGAACCCUUCUCCUUAAAAGGCGGAAGGAGGAGGAACCUGAUCGAGCCACUAACACUCCCCAAUCAUAUUAACCAUAUAAUUACAAAAAGCAGAAUUAACAAACGUCCACAGGGAUGAGUUAAACUUAAUCACAUCCCAAACAUCCUCUCCAUACGCCUUGACCCCCCAAAAAAACUUUACUAUUCCUCUCAACCCAAAUGCCCUGUAACGGAGCAAAAGAACAAGACUACCAAAGAACCUUCUUUAGUCACGAAAAGGAGGAUUCAAGAGCACCUCCUCAAACAUUGAACAGCAACCUCUACUACCAGCAGCACAAGCCCAAAGGUCCUAAAGAUAAACAGCAUAUAUUUCAGAAUUCAAAGUAAAACUAAUUUAAACACCCACCCUCCAG
rnacentral:misc_RNA from 1 species